ensembl:lncRNA
AGCUCCUGCUGAAGACAGCAGAAGAUAGAGGAUGGAGUAACCUAUCUGGAAAGAAGAAGAACUGCAGAAGCCUUUGACACUCACUGUUUUCAAGAUCUGGGAAAGCUUUCCUCCUGCAAGGAGCAGAAACAUUCACUGGCUUGUUUCAGUCAGUGUGAAAGCCAGGAGCAGAAUGGAGACAACCUGGUUCCCACCUCUGAGACAGAAUAUAUUUCUCUGCAUUUUUAACUGUCCUUACCUUGGCUGCUUUGGAUUCUCUGAAUUUCUGAGUUGAAAAGCGAUGCACAGGACACAGACUGAGUAGCUCCAUGGAAAUCAGUAGACAUCACUGAUCCCCUGAGGAGCUCAGUUUGACUGAUGUUGAGAGCUUAUUUCACCAGUAGGCUGAGAUGAUUCAGUGUGAAUACUCAGAUACUUCUGCAGGAAUGCAUUUCAUAGAGAACAAAAGUAAUCAUGGCAGCAAAUAAAGAUAUCAUAUCAGAGUAGAAGGCUUGGUCUUGCAAUCAUGGCAGAUACAGGAAAAUAUGUUUGAUUUUCUGGCUACAUUCCUAAGAUGGUUAAACAUCCUUGGACAGAAGGAUACAUGAAUGGCUUUCAUUCUUCUUGCUUUCUUAAAAACUGAGAAAUCUAUUAACCAAACAGUCUGGAACAGCCAGUCAUAAAGUACUGAAGACCAAAUUCACCAACAUUAUAUUUGAGGAUGGAACUCAGACCAGUUUGGACUCACAAUUGGAUGCGUAAGGCCACAUUCUUGUAUUCAGGAACGCCUCUGUAACAGAAAGGGCUGGAGAUGUUCUUUCUCUCUCUUGUGCUGCAUUGAAGAGCCUAUAAAGGUCAGGAAGCAAUAGAAAAUACAGAUGUGCAUCCUGCUGAGUGGACAAGAGAAUGAAAUAAGCCUUUCCCUGCUUCCAGGAUGAGUGUUCGAACUGUAUCCCCAGCAGAAAUUGCUCAUCUAGAUGUCAUAAGAUAAGAUAGAUGGAAUGAUUUUCAGCAUUGUUCAUGUACCUUGGACAUGGAAGGUGGGCUUCAAGGUGAAAGUAUAUCUGCUCAGUAUCUUCUCAUCUGCAAGGCUGACAUGUGCCACUUGGAGGACAAAAGUGACUUCAGGAAGGACUGACAGCUAAACACUAAUUUUCAAAAAUCAAAGCCUUAAGCCUGCAUGCCAUAUUCUUAUGCUGACAAGUCACUGACAGAGUAUCAAGAAAUGGAGGCCACAAGAAACCUACCAAAUUCCCUGCAGAAGAUACCUGGGACAUAAUCGGAAUGAGUAAGUACAAAUGCAGUGUAGGCAUGUGAAUACUAGGGGAUUCUUAUCAAUAGGCCUUUAAGAAUUGUCAUUGCCCAAAACACUUUGUUGACCUUGAUGCAUAAAACUAUACUACUUUAUCAAUAUGAAGGGGAGGAUUUCACAGACUGUAGUCCAGGCAAACGCCUUGGAUACUCUGAAGAAUGAAAAUGAAGAGUGACCAUAUCUUCUGGUGUCACCCUGAGAGUGUAUUUGUGAUGCUUUCUGAAUUGGCUAUAAGCACUCUUGGUAGAUCAGCUCAGUAGUGAUGUGGUGAUAGACGGAGACUCCAAUUUUUUUAUGGCUUGGCAAGGAAGGCACAAAAAAUGACUCAGGGCAACAAAUGUGAGACAAGGGAGAAUAUGUGAGGAAAGGAAAAGCCUUUGAUUCACACUUAUUGUGAAUAAACAGUAAACAUGAGCUAAUUUAUGGACUAAUUCAUCAGUACCUGAUGAAUGACAGCCACUUGACUCGUACAGUCUCCAUCCUUUAAUGUGAUCCAUGAAUGAAGAUUGUGUACUCAUGCAACAUCUCAUUAAAUAUCUGCUAAAGAGAUAUUGGAGAAUUACAGAUGUUCAGAUUGGAGGAUUAGAAAUACAGCUAUGCUUAUACUGAUCUGAAACUAAAGUCAUAUAUUUAUUACUGUAUCUCUUAUGGAAAUAACAGUGGUGUUAUUUCUGAGUAGUUUCAUAGUUCUAUCAAAUUCAGGUUUCUUAUAAAUACUUCCUUUGUAAAUGAUGAGAUAACACUGAAGGGGAAAAUGUUAUUAUGAUUUUUAUGGCAGCCAAGAGGUAUUAUUUAAUGCAAAAACCAUUAGCACAAGGUCAUAAUUCUGCAUUCACUUGAAAUGCCCUCUUUUAAGAUACUCUGAAAUUCUGUUUAAUUUCUUUAAAAACUCAUGGCUAUGUAUCUUAAAGACAGAAAUUGUACAUAUACCUGUAUUUACUUAUUUACAUUUCAAAUUAUAGAAAUUUCUCUCCAAAACAGCAGGGUUUCUUCAUUAACUAUUCAUUUUUCCAACACAAUAGGACAAAAGGAGAAACUCCAAGGGAAAUACAAAGGAAUUCUUAGGUUUCAGUGAUAUUUUCUCAGUCAUGACCAUUAUCCUAAUCCUUAGAAUGAAAAGGUGUAAAGCACGAACAGGAAAAUGAAGAGAAAACAAUACACUUCCUCUUGCAUAACGGAGAUAUUAUCUGUAUAUAAAUGUUCUGAUUAAGAGUGAAUUUGAUUUGCUUCUAAGUCAACAUUACUUUUUGUGUUCCUUAAAGAGUAACAAGUUUCAUCUUUAGCUGCAAGUAGCAAAGAACUUUCUGAAGACAGUAGUUAUAUUUAACAGUAGUUAAUAGCUUGUGACUUUAUUCACAUUUUCCACAAAUUCUUGCUGAGACGCUUUGUUACACUAGAAAAAGUUACAGCACUGUACCAGGAAAUUUGUUUGAAGUCUACUUUCAAAUGGCUAUUUGAACCUGUCAUAUAUUUAUACUUUUAAAAGCACAUAACCCAAUUUUCUUUUCUCUAACAUGUGACUUUUAUUUCUUUGUGAUGAAGACACUGUAAAAGAGCUUUUGCUAUUCUCUCGUAAAGGCUUUCAUUCUCUGCUAUUGUUAAACCAUAAAAAUAUUAAAUAUCUU